GCUUUCAACUGAAACAAUUUAGCUUCAGUUACCUCCGUUCAAAUCCACUAUCCGUUCUAAAAACAUGUCAGCUGUUACAUUUUAUGCAUUAACCACAGCUGCAGUUCUCUUCACUGAAGCGAAUUGUGCAGAUUCGAUCUCACAGGAGCCAGCUAUAGCAAAACAGCUUGAAGGACAGUCGGUGAACAUUAACUUUAACUAUUCGAUCAAAAUAGCUACUUCAUAUUCCUUGCAAUUGUACCGGCAAGACCUGGGUAAAUCACCGACACUUUUGAUCUACAUCCUUCAAUCCGGAUAUGUUCUCAGAUCAGAUGGCGUGGGAAAUCGAUUUUCUGCAGCUCUGGACACUUCGAAAAGUGAGGGGAAUUUCUCCAUUGGUGACCUACGACUGUCUGACAGCGCUGUGUAUUACUGUGUGCUGAGAGACACAGUAACAGGAACCAGAGCGAGCCUCGUGCAAAAACAUUGCUGUAAUGGAACAAGUUGA